rnacentral:rRNA from 1 species
GAUGAACGCUGGCGGCGUGCCUAAUACAUGCAAGUCGAGCGAACGGACGAGAAGCUUGCUUCUCUGAUGUUAGCGGCGGACGGGUGAGUAACACGUGGAUAACCUACCUAUAAGACUGGGAUAACUUCGGGAAACCGGAGCUAAUACCGGAUAAUAUUUUGAACCGCAUGGUUCAAAAGUGAAAGACGGUCUUGCUGUCACUUAUAGAUGGAUCCGCGCUGCAUUAGCUAGUUGGUAAGGUAACGGCUUACCAAGGCAACGAUGCAUAGCCGACCUGAGAGGGUGAUCGGCCACACUGGAACUGAGACACGGUCCAGACUCCUACGGGAGGCAGCAGUAGGGAAUCUUCCGCAAUGGGCGAAAGCCUGACGGAGCAACGCCGCGUGAGUGAUGAAGGUCUUCGGAUCGUAAAACUCUGUUAUUAGGGAAGAACAUAUGUGUAAGUAACUGUGCACAUCUUGACGGUACCUAAUCAGAAAGCCACGGCUAACUACGUGCCAGCAGCCGCGGUAAUACGUAGGUGGCAAGCGUUAUCCGGAAUUAUUGGGCGUAAAGCGCGCGUAGGCGGUUUUUUAAGUCUGAUGUGAAAGCCCACGGCUCAACCGUGGAGGGUCAUUGGAAACUGGAAAACUUGAGUGCAGAAGAGGAAAGUGGAAUUCCAUGUGUAGCGGUGAAAUGCGCAGAGAUAUGGAGGAACACCAGUGGCGAAGGCGACUUUCUGGUCUGUAACUGACGCUGAUGUGCGAAAGCGUGGGGAUCAAACAGGAUUAGAUACCCUGGUAGUCCACGCCGUAAACGAUGAGUGCUAAGUGUUAGGGGGUUUCCGCCCCUUAGUGCUGCAGCUAACGCAUUAAGCACUCCGCCUGGGGAGUACGACCGCAAGGUUGAAACUCAAAGGAAUUGACGGGGACCCGCACAAGCGGUGGAGCAUGUGGUUUAAUUCGAAGCAACGCGAAGAACCUUACCAAAUCUUGACAUCCUUUGACAACUCUAGAGAUAGAGCCUUCUCCUUCGGGGGACAAAGUGACAGGUGGUGCAUGGUUGUCGUCAGCUCGUGUCGUGAGAUGUUGGGUUAAGUCCCGCAACGAGCGCAACCCUUAAGCUUAGUUGCCAUCAUUAAGUUGGGCACUCUAAGUUGACUGCCGGUGACAAACCGGAGGAAGGUGGGGAUGACGUCAAAUCAUCAUGCCCCUUAUGAUUUGGGCUACACACGUGCUACAAUGGACAAUACAAAGGGCAGCGAAACCGCGAGGUCAAGCAAAUCCCAUAAAGUUGUUCUCAGUUCGGAUUGUAGUCUGCAACUCGACUACAUGAAGCUGGAAUCGCUAGUAAUCGUAGAUCAGCAUGCUACGGUGAAUACGUUCCCGGGUCU